AAAAAUUAAAAAUUAUUUUUAGAAACUAGAAAUUAAAAGAGAAAUAAUACAAUUGGUCCCGUAAUUUUUGGACAAUAAUGAGAGAGAUAUGAAUUUUAGAAAUAAAAUGAAAUAAAAGAAAUAAAAUGGAUUAAAUCAGAAAUUAGAAAAAACCACGUGCGUUGGAUGAGAUCUCUUUAAUUGACGUGGAGGAUCUAAUGGCAAUGAG
rnacentral:lncRNA from 1 species